AUCUAUAGUUGUUUAAUUCAUGUCAUGUUUCUUUCUUAUGCAGGAUGACAAAAUCUUGGUUAGUACUAUUGUUGCUUUAUAAAAAGAAGGAAAUAGUGCAUUUCACUUGGUCAGUAUGAAUUUCUGUAAGAAAGAAAUAUGUAGCCAAAAGAAUAAACUUUAUGAUUGUUUGACUACGUAUUUGAUUGAAGUCUUUUGCUUUUCCUUUUUCCUGUACAUAGUGUAGCUUCUUGAUAAAGCUUAUUCCUACUGAGUUGAUCAAAGCUUAUCAAAAGGCCAUACUGAAUACACAUCCGUCGCUUCUUCCAGCAUUUGGUGGAAAAGGGUAUUACGGUAUGAAGGUGCACAAAACAGUCAUUGCAUCUGGAGCAAAGUAUGAAAAAAUGCCAACCAUUUUCACUUUUUUUUCAUUAUCAUAUGAUUCUGCUGCUUCCGUUUUCCUUCUCAUUAUCACUCUGAUGUAUUUUUUUAUUAUAACUAAUCUGAUGUUUACUUUUACUAUCAAACUAUAUCUGUUGUUUAUUUUUAUAUCAAAGGCCCUUGAUUAUUUGGUUUGAAGUGAUUAAAUGGAGGAUAUGCAUCGCAUCUAACUUAUAAAUCCUCAAAAAGUAAACAACUUCCUAGGGGUUACACUUACAUGCCCUUUCUUGUGUUACUAUAUCUAUAGAUUUGGGUUCCCAUGUGUUUUUCCAUAUGGUUGAUGAUGACGGUGCUGUGUUGGUUAUCGAGCUUCUAUUGCUUGUACAGAUUAGCCUCAUUACAUUUUUGGUAGUAAAUGUUUGCUUCUCAACAAUGCUUCUCUUCUCAAUGAUCGGAACCCUGAAGUGAGAUCCCUAUAUCUCUUUCUCUCCUUCCACAUUGUACAUUCAUUUCUAUCUCUUAAAAGAAUUUACAGAGCCAAAUAAUGGAAAUGCCGCUGUUUUGGAGAUGCUGACAGUCUUGCCUGAAAUCGUUGAAGAUUAAAAUGGUGAUUUCCGUGUAACCUCUGCUCGACAUAAAGAGUAUGGACAAGAGGUUUUGCAAUCUGAUUCAUGCAACUUCACUGGAUUUUUCUUAUAUUAGUUCGGACCUGGUGGGCAACUUAAACUUGCAGAUUUUGGGUUAGCUCGUAUAUUCGGGAGCCCUGAUCGAAGGUUCACACAUCAGAAUAGGGCAUUGGAGAUAUCAUCUGAUUUAAAGUGAAGUAGGGAACAUCCAUAUUUCUUGUUGGUGAGAAUAUUUAUAACAAACUUGUGCAUCUCUACAUAUUUAGGACUUUGUUUGUUAGGUUUAAAUUAUAUAACGAACUUUGUUUAUUGGAAUGUACGUAGCACUUGGAUUGUAUGACUACGUUGUGGGGAGUGUCAAGUGGCUAAUAUUGAUAUCAUUUGAUCUCAUCAGCUCUCUUUCUCUUUCUCUAGUUUUGAGAAGUGCACAAGUCACCAUGAGAGAUAGGCAACAUAUUAUGACUUUCAACGGAGCUUGUGCACUUCUUUUGUUGCUUAAUUUAUGCACAAGUCACCUCAAGCUCCAUUUCUUAUAAUGCUCUCUAUUUGCUUUAUCAACAAUUUAGAUUUUUGGGCAGGAAAGUGAAGGCGGAUUUCUGAAAUUGAAGAAAACAAGUGAAUGGCUGUUGGGAGACGUUGACUCAGCACCAAGGUUCUUGCCGUUACGGUCAAAUUUAUUCUAAAAGAUGUUGAGUAGAGAAACACAUCAUUUAAUCUGAGGCUGUUACUUCAGGUUUGUGGUGGAUUAAAUGAGCCGUACGUUGAGCUGAAGAGUCUUGUGAAUUAACAAGAAAAGUUGUACCGGAUGGCUAGCUAGUUACAUAUUUAAUAUGUUUAGUAUUUUUGUAAGGAAUAAUAGUAUAGAUAAAGC